ensembl:lncRNA
UUUUUGUAAGGAUUUUUAGGGGUCCAAGCCAACAGGUUGGAUCCCUAUUGUUUUUGUAAGGAUUUUUAGGGGUCCAAGCCAACAGGUUGGAUCCCUAUUGUUUUUGUAAGGAUUUUUCCUAUUAUUAGGGGUCCAAGCCAACAGGUUGGAUCCCUAUUGUUUUUGUAAGGAUUAUUAUUAUUAUACUUCCCAUCUAGAAGUGGUACCACAGCCCAAACAGUAAAUGGUGCACACGCGCCAAUUGCAUCACUAGAUCCAGGUCCGUGAAUACUACGCAGACGACCAAAUCCAGACACGCCGGCCACUAGGUGGCGCUAUACCAAGGAAAGACGCGUUUGGGGCUAUAACUCCCACACCGAACCUCCCACAGUCAAAAACUUGUACCCACUUAUUCACUGGAGUCUGCUGCAUCUUUUGGCAUAGGCCACGCCCAUUUGCGUCUGGAAUUUUUUUUCGCAAAAUCGCGAAAACCGCAAAAGUGUUUUUUCCAUACUCCUCCCACAUUUCUCGACCAAUCAACACCAAACUUUGCACACGACAUCUUCAGACGCACACGAAAAGAAAAACUCAAACACUUUUUGAUCCGACCUUCGAUUACGAAACGGUAGCGUUUUGAAUAUUUGUUUAUAAGCUAAAUUAGACGUGGAAUAUCAAAAAUCCAAAGAAAUCCAAAAUUAGACAUCGG